GGCCCCACGGGUCUGGCAGCUCCUCAUGGUCCCGGUCGCAGGUAGCGUCCCGCCGCUGCCUCGGACCCGCCCCAAAUCUCACCGUCUGAGCGAACUCCGGGUAGCGGUGAUUAAAAAGCUUUAUUGCUCACACAAAGCCUGUUUGGUGGUCUCUUCACACGGAUGCACUUGACAUUUGGUGCCGAAGACCCAGGACAGGGAGACUCCUUCGGAAGACAGGUCCCCUGUCCUCACCAUCACUCCAUGAGGAGAUCCACCUAAGACCUCGGUUCCUCAGACCAGCCCAAGGAAUACCUUACCAACUUCAAAUCGGACAGGAAUGUCAGGCCUCUGAGCCCAAGCCUGCACCUGUACAUCCAGAUGGACUGAGGAAACUGCAGAACCACAAAAGAAGUGAAAAUGGCCAGUUCCUGACUUAACUGAUGACAUUACCUUGUGAAAUUCCUUCUCCUGGACAAUGAGUCUCAGAAGUUCCCCACUGAGCACCUUGUGACCCCCACCCCUGCCUGCAAGAGAACAACCCCCUUUGAGUUUAAUUUUCCACUAUCUACCCAAAUCCUAUAAAACUGCCCCACCCCUAACUCCCUUUGCUGACUCUUUUUCUGACUCAGCCCACCUGCACCCAGGUGAUUAAA